rnacentral:rRNA from 1 species
GAUGAACGCUGGCGGCGUGCCUAAUACAUGCAAGUCGAGCGAACGGACGAGAAGCUUGCUUCUCUGAUGUUAGCGGCGGACGGGUGAGUAACACGUGGAUAACCUACCUAUAAGACUGGGAUAACUUCGGGAAACCGGAGCUAAUACCGGAUAAUAUUUUGAACCGUAUGGUUCAAAAGUGAAAGACGGUCUUGCUGUCACUUAUAGAUGGAUCCGCGCUGCAUUAGCUAGUUGGUAAGGUAACGGCUUACCAAGGCAACGAUGCAUAGCCGACCUGAGAGGGUGAUCGGCCACACUGGAACUGAGACACGGUCCAGACUCCUACGGGAGGCAGCAGUAGGGAAUCUUCCGCAAUGGGCGAAAGCCUGAUGGAGCAACGCCGCGUGAGUGAUGAAGGUCUUCGGAUCGUAAAACUCUGUUAUUAGGGAAGAACAUAUGUGUAAGUAACUGUGCACAUCUUGACGGUACCUAAUCAGAAAGCCACGGCUAACUACGUG